CCCACCCAAACUUACCCAGCUCACAUAGAAAUCUAUUCUCCCCUCUCUCUGCGAUUCCUCUCUCCCCGAAACCCUAAAAAUCUCGGCUCCCCUCUCUCUGCGAUUCGUCUCUCCGAGCUUCUACGACAUUUUCCCGGCGGUGCCGCCGCAGAUCAGCGACCAAGGGCUGAUCGAGGGUCAAGCGGUCUGGGCUCAGUUUGGUGAUCAAGAGGCGACGAAGACGAAGACGACGAAACCUCGAUCCCAAUCCCUUUCACGAACUUAGACGGCGGCGAUCAGUGGCGAUCGGCGAUGAAGAUGACGAAGCCUUUGACUAAGUUGACGACGAAGACAAUGGACAGCUUUGGAAAACGAAUUCGAAGCCAAUCAAGAGGCGAAGUAGGGCUAGUGUAGGAGGUGAGAGAGUCACCAACGAGGAUCCAAAACAAAUUCAGCAGUUAUCAUUAGCAGCAAAUUGUCCCCAGUUCUCAAUCGAGAAGACAGUUUUUCUGAUUGAUCCAAUGCGGGAGACUUUAAGAUCUUCUUCAGUACAAAACUCACGGCCAACAUAACUCCAGUAAGAUUGUUCUCCUUGUGGAAUGUAGUUCGCAGGUUCGAGUCUCGAAAACUGCAAAUACAAGGAAGGCUACAUAUUUAUGGUCAUUCAUAUUUGUUAUUUCUUUCUACAGUCAAAUCCUAAAACUGUGACCAAAAAUCCCCACAAAAAGAAAACAGGACAUGGAUAAGGUUAUCAGCGUAUAAUUUCCUUGGCGUGUUAUCUUGAACAAUAUUGUAUCCCUGUCACUUUAGUUGUUCCGAAAAUACUCAGUUGCAUAUGUAGACUAUGUAAUCUAGCUUUAACUUGAUAUCAUAAUAAAGAUUGGCACUUGUCCUCUUUUCUCCUUUGAUUCCUUCCAAUAUUUCAGCAAUUUUUGUUGAGUCAUAGAUUUCAUAAUUGAAGUAUAUGAGGUAUAUGCUUUGUGACCCCUAGAUCUUGCAUCAGGAGAUCAUCCAUUUUCGACAAAAAUUAGAAGUUUUUUCUCCUAUAAACUAUGGACCUAUAUUGACGAUGUAAGGUGAAGAUUCUUCAUGAUCUAUGUUGUCAUUUACUGCUAUAACUUCUCAAGGGUGACACUUCUUGAGAUUUGUAUUGAUAGUGUAGGGUGGCAUUUCGUGAUACUCCCACAGCCGUUUUAGUUAAAAGUUGAAAAUUUGGAACCUUUUGAAUAUCGCAUAUGUGCUUCUCUUUCUUGCAGGAUUAUGUUGCAACUAGGUGGUACAAGGCACCUGAGUUAUGCGGUUCACUUUUCUCAAAGCGAGUAUGCGGGGAUGAUUGAUAGAACUACGAUUUUAACCUUGAGAGGCCAUCUUGCUACUACUUUGUGCAUUUUCAUAAAUCAUGAGGAUAUUCUACUCAAAUGAUCAAAAUUGAAAGUUGAAAUGACAGGCAAUGGAAGUAUUGGGAUCCAAGACCUUUAAAAAGUAUUGGUAAUGUGGGCUAGUGAACCAGUGAAAGCAAUUCAAGGCCAGUUCCUCUCACAGCCAAAUGCCAGAGCCCAAUUACAGUAAAUUGUGAAUCCGAGGAUCAUGGUUUGGACUUUGAAGAAACUGUAGCCACUAUUUUGCUCAAAUGGAAGAGGUUUUGAUGUAGGAGAUAUAAAGACUUAAAUAGGAGAAUGCGGUCAAGAUGGCUUUGAUAUAUGAAUCUUUUGGAAUAGACUUGUACUUUUGAAUUGAUCAUAUUUUGAUGGUUGUGAAUUGAUCAUAUUUUGAUGGGUUGAAGUUACCUUGUAACUACUUAUUUUUGAAUGAUGGGCUUAAAACAUAUGAAUGUUUCAUUAUUUUUUAUUUUGAUGAUAUCUUAAUGUAGUGUGUUCUUAUUCCA